rnacentral:misc_RNA from 1 species
GAUGAAGAACGUAGCGAAAUGCGAUAAGUAAUGUGAAUUGCAGAAUUCAGUGAAUCAUCGAAUCUUUGAACGCACAUUGCGCCCCCUGGUAUUCCGGGGGGCAUGCCUGUCCGAGCGUCAUUACAACCCUCAAGCUCAGCUUGGUGUUGGGCCCCGCCGCCCCGGCGGGCCCUAAAGUCAGUGGCGGUGCCGUCCGGCUCCGAGCGUAGUAAUUCUUCUCGCUCUGGAGGUCCGGUCGUGUGCUCGCCAGCAACCCCCAAUUUUUUUCAGGUUGGCCUCGGAUCAGGUAGGGAUACCCGCUGAACUUAAGCAUAUCAAUAAGCGGAGGA